rnacentral:rRNA from 1 species
GUGGAUUUUUUGUUUCUUUACUGGCUUCAUAUAAUUCUGAAAACAAAAGUUUUCUUGAAGCCUCUUGCUCAUAUCUCUCAUCAAAGGGUGCUAUUCUAUAAUGUUUCUUUAGCAGAUCCCCCGCUAAUCCGAGCGAGCUUUCAAAUAUUAACAAUUGAGGGAUUUCAACUUUUUGUGGUGGCGUGA